rnacentral:rRNA from 1 species
AGAGUUUGAUCCUGGCUCAGGAUGAACGCUAGCUACAGGCUUAACACAUGCAAGUCGAGGGGAAACGACAUCGAAAGCUUGCUUUUGAUGGGCGUCGACCGGCGCACGGGUGAGUAACGCGUAUCCAACCUGCCCACCACUUGGGGAUAACCUUGCGAAAGUAAGACUAAUACCCAAUGAUAUCUCUAGAAGACAUCUGAAAGAGAUUAAAGAUUUAUCGGUGAUGGAUGGGGAUGCGUCUGAUUAGCUUGUUGGCGGGGUAACGGCCCACCAAGGCAACGAUCAGUAGGGGUUCUGAGAGGAAGGUCCCCCACAUUGGAACUGAGACACGGUCCAAACUCCUACGGGAGGCAGCAGUGAGGAAUAUUGGUCAAUGGACGAGAGUCUGAACCAGCCAAGUAGCGUGCAGGAUGACGGCCCUAUGGGUUGUAAACUGCUUUUAUAAGGGAAUAAAGUGAGUCUCGUGAGACUUUUUGCAUGUACCUUAUGAAUAAGGACCGGCUAAUUCCGUGCCAGCAGCCGCGGUAAUACGGAAGGUCCGGGCGUUAUCCGGAUUUAUUGGGUUUAAAGGGAGCGUAGGCCGGAGAUUAAGCGUGUUGUGAAAUGUAGACGCUCAACGUCUGCACUGCAGCGCGAACUGGUUUCCUUGAGUACGCACAAAGUGGGCGGAAUUCGUGGUGUAGCGGUGAAAUGCUUAGAUAUCACGAAGAACUCCGAUUGCGAAGGCAGCUCACUGGAGCGCAACUGACGCUGAAGCUCGAAAGUGCGGGUAUCGAACAGGAUUAGAUACCCUGGUAGUCCGCACGGUAAACGAUGGAUGCCCGCUGUUGGUCUGAAUAGGUCAGCGGCCAAGCGAAAGCAUUAAGCAUCCCACCUGGGGAGUACGCCGGCAACGGUGAAACUCAAAGGAAUUGACGG